GAGUGAUUGUGAGUGAUUUGUUUGGUGCCUCAUAUCAAAUGCUUUAAAGGCUUUUAUUUUGAAGGUUAUGAAACCAGAAGUUCUGUUUAAGCGAGUGGUUGAUGACUUGAUGCUUAUGCUUGACGAAGUGUUUGACGAACAUUUGGAAAACAUGGAUAAGAGGAAAAGGUCAGAACUGGAGGACGACUCUUCUGGUGCCAGUCGUUAACAAUUCAUCAUCCCGCCUCUACCAACCAGCUUCCACCAAUCACCUCAUCAGUUUCCAGCAAGGGGAGAUGCACUUUAAAAUAUUUCAGUACCACCCCCAGUGACACAGCAUCAGGCAACGCCGUGCGGCACAGCAGCCCCUCCAUCACCGACAGACGGUGAAACUCAGUCCAUAACUUCCUCAAGCUGGCAGAGGAACCCCCGGGGAGUCUACGAGGCCGCCGCACCCUGCCCUGCUCCAACCAAGUCAACGCAGC